AGGUGGAUUAUUCUACCCCUGGAUUGAUAUUUCGGCGCUUUACUGUAAAUACUGAGCGUAGACAGCGAAGCAUUUCACUCUAGAGUUUGGAAAAUCAAUCAAAAGUGUGCAAUCAAAUUUGUUCUGAUAAGUUUGAUAAGAGCGAUAUUAUGAUCACCGAAUAAACUGGUUGAAGGCAAAUAAGACCAAAUGCUGAGCCUCAAAUAGAUACUACCAUUUUUGCUGGGGCCUUAUCAUGCAGCAUAGUAAGAUAAUUCUCAUUUUCUGAUCUUUCAAUAG